rnacentral:rRNA from 1 species
AGAGUUUGAUCCUGGCUCAGGAUGAACGCUGGCGGCGUGCUUAACACAUGCAAGUCGAACGAAACACCUUAUUUGAUUUUCUUCGGAACUGAAGAUUUGGUGAUUGAGUGGCGGACGGGUGAGUAACGCGUGGGUAACCUGCCCUGUACAGGGGGAUAACAGUCAGAAAUGACUGCUAAUACCGCAUAAGACCACAGCACCGCAUGGUGCAGGGGUAAAAACUCCGGUGGUACAGGAUGGACCCGCGUCUGAUUAGCUGGUUGGUGAGGUAACGGCUCACCAAGGCGACGAUCAGUAGCCGGCUUGAGAGAGUGAACGGCCACAUUGGGACUGAGACACGGCCCAAACUCCUACGGGAGGCAGCAGUGGGGAAUAUUGCACAAUGGAGGAAACUCUGAUGCAGCGACGCCGCGUGAAGGAUGAAGUAUCUCGGUAUGUAAACUUCUAUCAGCAGGGAAGAUAGUGACGGUACCUGACUAAGAAGCCCCGGCUAACUACGUGCCAGCAGCCGCGGUAAUACGUAGGGGGCAAGCGUUAUCCGGAUUUACUGGGUGUAAAGGGAGCGUAGACGGUGUGGCAAGUCUGAUGUGAAAGGCAUGGGCUCAACCUGUGGACUGCAUUGGAAACUGUCAUACUUGAGUGCCGGAGGGGUAAGCGGAAUUCCUAGUGUAGCGGUGAAAUGCGUAGAUAUUAGGAGGAACACCAGUGGCGAAGGCGGCUUACUGGACGGUAACUGACGUUGAGGCUCGAAAGCGUGGGGAGCAAACAGAAUAAGAUACCCUGGUAGUCCACGCCGUAAACG